UCAGCGGGUAAUCUUGACUGAUCUGAGGUGUGGAUAAAGAAUUGAUGUUGGUUCGUAGUGUGUUGUUCUGGAACGCUUGGCACCUGAACUCGGCACUAUUCGCCUUCUUGCUGCAGUUAAGUGUAGUGAUGGAUGGGGCCAGAUCCAAAAGGGUCUAACCUACCCAUCACAAACACCAUAUCACAGAGCCAUAGACCCCAUAUUAUAGAUACACUCUCAGACAGACAUGCCGAUUGCUCGGCGCAAGUUGCGUUCAAAGACUAGAUGACUCACAGAUUCAUGCAGAUCGCAUUACGUAUCGCAUUUUGCUGCGUUCUUCAUCGAUGCAAGAGCCA
rnacentral:misc_RNA from 1 species